GUUAUGAUAGUUUUAAUUUUAUGCUGGCUCUUGAAAAUGAUAAAGCUAUGAAACUUACUGUGCUUCCUUCAAAUGAUGACUUCUACGUAUAUAAAAAAUUAUGAAGAGUUGGAAUUAAAAAUUUUAAAGAUAUAGUAAAAUAACUAUUGUAUUUUUUUAUGUUACUUUAAUAAAUCUCUAUGGCCACACCAUUUAAGGUAUCCUAAACCCAUUCGCAAUUUAACAUCUUCAGUAUAUGGCUUCAUGUUAAAAAAGUUUGGUGUGAACUACUUGUGUCUUCUUGGAGGAGAAUGAAUUCAUUUACAGGCUGAGUUUAUCAUAAAUCCACAAUAACAUUUCUGAGUUCUGUAUCAAUCAGUGUUGUUGUUUGUUUAUUUUUAUUUUUUUUAUUUUUCAUAGGAAGAUAACUGACCCUUUACUCUCCUUUUUAAUAAAUGAGCUAUUUAUAGCUGUAUUUAUAAACUGCUUACUACUGACUAUUAA